rnacentral:rRNA from 1 species
AAAGGGCGCGUAGGCGGAUCACGCAGUCAGAUGUGAAAUUCCUGGGCUUAACCUGGGGGCUGCAUUUGAGACGCGUGGUCUAGAGUGUGAAAGAGGGUCGUGGAAUUCCCAGUGUAGAGGUGAAAUUCGUAGAUAUUGGGAAGAACACCGGUGGCGAAGGCGGCGACCUGGUUCAUGACUGACGCUGAGGCGCGAAAGCGUGGGGAGCAAACAGGAUUAGAUACCCCAGU